GGGCGCAGACCUGCGCCCCACGUUCAAAUAAUUAAGUGAAGGGCUAUGCCCUGCACUCAUCAUCACUCAUGGCCACCUGGCCAUUUUUUUUAUUAAGUGGCAGUCGGCCACUUCAAUAAGAGGCCAGUGCCUCUUCGUUCUGUUUUUAUGAACCACAGAGAGCUUCCUCUCCAUUUUUCCUCUUUUAGAUUUUUAGAGGAAAACUACAAUAUACAAAGAUCCAACGGUUCAAUUUUAGAUCCGACUUCGGUAACGUAAUCCUAGAAGCUCGAUCUACAUUUUGACCGAACGUUUUGAGGCUUGUGUCAUGAUUGGAGACAUAGACUUGUUCUCCAAUGUAGAGUUCGAGCAAUUGGAAUCCAGUGGAAGUUCGAGUCAGGAGUCUAAUGCAGCCAAGAUGAUGUUUCUUUCGCUGCAGGUACUUCGGUAUAGUCGAUGGGUCGGUAGCAGUGUGCUUGGGAUAUUAUGACUGAAGCUCGCCGCGACAGUUGUAAUUGUCGGACCACGGGUUGUCCACUAUUUUAUAGGUUUGGUAUGGCUUGUGACGUUUGUGUCACUUAUUCUUUGUUAAGCCAUUAUUGUUAUAGUGUUAAUAAGACUCAAACAGAUAGAUGUUAAAUGGCUCUUUGUUGUAAUUAAUUUGUGAUAGAUGUAUAAGUUGUAAUUUCCGCUAUUCAGAUUUAUGUUUUCCGCUGCA